rnacentral:rRNA from 1 species
AGACCCGAAACCCGGUGAUCUAGCCAUGGGCAGGUUGAAGGUUGGGUAACACUAACUGGAGGACCGAACCGACUAAUGUUGAAAAAUUAGCGGAUGACCUGUGGCUGGGGGUGAAAGGCCAAUCAAACCGGGAGAUAGCUGGUUCUCCCCGAAAGCUAUUUAGGUAGCGCCUCGUGAAUUCAUCUCCGGGGGUAGAGCACUGUUUCGGCUAGGGGGCCAUCCCGGCUUACCAACCCGAUGCAAACUGCGAAUACCGGAGAAUGUUAUCACGGGAGACACACGGCGGGUGCUAACGUCCGUCGUGAAGAGGGAAACAACCCAGACCGCCAGCUAAGGUCCCAAAGUCAUGGUUAAGUGGGAAACGAUGUGGGAAGGCCCAGACAGCCAGGAUGUUGGCUUAGAAGCAGCCAUCAUUUAAAGAAAGCGUAAUAGCUCACUGGUCGAGUCGGCCUGCGCGGAAGAUGUAACGGGGCUAAACCAUGCACCGAAGCUGCGGCAGCGACGCUGAUGCGUUGUUGGGUAGGGGAGCGUUCUGUAAGCCUGCGAAGGUGGCCUGUGAGGGUUGCUGGAGGUAUCAGAAGUGCGAAUGCUGACAUAAGUAACGAUAAAGCGGGUGAAAAGCCCGCUCGCCGGAAGACCAAGGGUUCCUGUCCAACGUUAAUCGGGGCAGGGUGAGUCGACCCCUAAGGCGAGGCCGAAAGGCGUAGUCGAUGGGAAACGGGUUAAUAUUCCCGUACUUGGUGUUACUGCGAAGGGGGGACGGAGAAGGCUAUGUUGGCCGGGCGACGGUUGUCCCGGUUUAAGCGUGUAGGUGUGUGUUCCAGGUAAAUCCGGUUCACUUUAACACUGAGGC